AUUGAACGCUGGCGGAAUGCUCUACACAUGCAAGUCGAGCGGCAGCGCGGGGCAACCUGGCGGCGAGCGGCGAACGGGUGAGUAAUGCAUCGGAACAUGUCCAUGUCGUGGGGGAUAGCCCGGCGAAAGCCGGAUUAAUACCGCAUACGCCCGAGAGGGGGAAGUGGGGGACCGCAAGGCCUCACGCGAUUGGGUUGGCCGAUGUCCGAUUAGCUAGUUGGCGGGGUAAAGGCCCACCAAGGCGAUGAUCGGUAGCUGGUCUGAGAGGAUGAUAGGCCACACGGGGACGGAGACACGGCCCAGACUCCUACGGGAGGCAGCAGUGGGGAAUUUUGGACAAUGGGGCAACCCUGAUCCAGCCAUUCCGCGUGAGUGAAGAAGGCCUUCGGGUUGUAAAGCUCUUUUGUCCGGAACGAAACGGUUACGGUGAAUACCCGUGACUACUGACGGUACCGGAAGAAUAAGCACCGGCUAACUACGUGCCAGCCGCCGCCGUAA
rnacentral:rRNA from 1 species